rnacentral:lncRNA from 1 species
CAAAGAAUAAGCAAGUCCAAACCUUGUAUGUGUAGUCGUUGAGCUAUAGGUUCCCACGUAAAGUUAAAAUGCCCCUAUUUCAAGAAGAAUAAACUCACGAAAACAUGAAAAAAUUCUCUAAAUUCGCGUUCAUUGUUUUGAUUUUGACCGCCUGACAACUUUACGGAAGUAUCAGAGUGAUUAUAAACAAGGACUCUGUGACGG